GACGAACGCUGGCGGCGUGCUUAACACAUGCAAGUCGAACGAAGUGGCGAACGGGUGAGUAACGCGUAAGCAACCUGCCCUUCAGAGGGGGACAACAGUUGGAAACGACUGCUAAUACCGCAUACUGAAGGAGGGGAUUGCGUUUGAUUAGCUAGUUGGAGGGGUAACGGCCCACAAAGGCGAUGAUCAGUAGCAGGUCUGAGAGGAUGAACGGUCAAAGUGGGACUGAGACAGUGCCCAGACACCGACGGGAGGCAGCAGUGGGGAAGCUUCCGCAAUGGACGAAAGUCUGACGGAGCAACGCCGCGUGAGUGAUGACGGCCUUCGGGUUGUAAAGCUCUGUUAAUCGGGACGCGGUACCGGAAUAGAAAGCCACGGCUAACUACGUGCCAGCAGCCGCGGUAAUUC
rnacentral:rRNA from 1 species